rnacentral:rRNA from 1 species
CCUACGGGAGGCAGCAGUGGGGAAUAUUGCACAAUGGGGGAAACCCUGAUGCAGCGACGCCGCGUGAGUGAAGAAGUAUUUCCGUAUGUUAAGCUCUAUCAGCCAGGAAGAAAAUGACGGUACUUGAUUAAGAAGCCCCGGCUAACUACGUGCAACCAGCCGCAGUAAUACGUAGGGGGCAAGCGUUAUCCGGAUUUACUGGGGGUAAAGGGAGCGUAGACGGCAGCACAAGUCUGGAGUGAAAUGCCGGGGCUUAACCCAGGAACUGCUUUGGAAACUGUGCAGCUAGAGUGCAGGAGAGGUAAGUGGAAUUCGUAGUGUAGCGGUGAAAUGCGUAGAUAUUAGGAGGAACACCAGUGGCGAAGGCGGCUUACUGGACUGUAACUGACGUUGAGGCUCGAAAGCGUGGGGAGCGAACAGGAUUAGAUACCCUAGUAGUC